CAAGAAUCGACAAGAACUUUUCUAUUUUCACCAACUCUAAGAUUCGAUGAACAAAAUAAACGAAAUAUGCUAUCCAAAGUUUCAUUGAUAACUUUUUUCAGUCUAAUUGUUUCAGCAUAUUGUAAACAUGAGAUGAUUGCACCAUCGGAUCAAUUUGUUAACUCUUAUGAUUAUUUCGAUCAAUAUAAAACUUGGAAUACUCAAUUACAUCGUAUUGUGUCACCAAUUAAGCCAAAAAGGUUUAUUCGUGCUAUGAACAUAAAAGAAAGUGACCCAAUUGAUGACAGUGUAUCGUCCAUAUCGUCCAGUGCUUUUACCAAAAACGGAUUAUCCAAAGUGAAAAGUGAGAAAUCGUUUUCAGUCACUAAAAAAGGUAACGUUAUUGAAGUGACUAGUAGUAUUGGAGGUAUGGCUCAAUUACCAUGUAAUAUAACCAAAGGGAUUAAGGAUGAUUCAAUUCGUCUUAUUUUAUGGUUUAAAGAUAGUCUACCGGGUGGACCAAUAUACUCAAUAGAUUCACGUAAUUCUAAUUUAAGCUUAGCAAAACAUUUUUCAACCAUCGAAUCAAUUGGAGUUCGAGCUUCAUUUGAUUUAACAACUAACCCAUCAUAUCUUAUCCUUGAUCCUUUACGGGAAGAGGAUAUUGGUGAAUACAAGUGCCGAGUGGAUUUUGUCGAAGGACGAACCCUCACAACAAUAGUUAAACUCAAUAUAAUAGUUCCUCCUUCAUCUGUUUGGAUAACCGAUUCCAAUGGACGAACCCUUGAAUCUUGGAGCGGUCCAUACGAUGAACUAUCAGAUAUUCACCUUUCCUGCCUAUCGAAAGGAGGUACUCCUUUGCCUUCAUUGGUUUGGUUCCUAAAUGGUCAACUUCUUGACCAAAGUUACCUUAUUGAAGAGUCAAAUAAAACUGUUACCAAUCGCCUUGAGAUUUACAAUGUUUCUCGUGAUUAUCUUAAUUCCGUCCUUGUCUGCAAAGCAAUUAAUCAAUUGUAUCCAACCUCAAUUAAUGCCUCCAUCACAUUGGACAUUAACUUGAAACCACUUUCUGUCAAGUUGAUUCCUCUCACGAGAACGUUGCUUGCUGGACAGAGGGCAGAUAUUACAUGUGAAUCGAUGUAUUCACGACCUCCGGCCGUUCUAACCUGGUUGAAGAAUAAGAAAAAACUUCUCGACGAAAGCGAAACAAUCACUGAAAGUGGUAAUAAAACAACAAGUGUAUUAAAUUUUGUGCCUUCCCCAGAGGAUAAUGGACUUUACCUAAUCUGUAAAGCAGAAAAUAUAAGAUUGAAAAAUAGCGCAAUUGAAGAUAAGCUACUACUCUAUGUAAGAUUUGCACCGAUAACCUCUCUUGUUAUGGUUAACCACCAUCAUUCAAAUUCAUUGGUGAAAACUGGUGAUCAUAUUGGAUUACACUGUCAAACAAAGUCCAACCCUGAAGUUUCUGAAUACUCGUGGAGUUUUCAGGGUAAACUCAUCGAUCAAGUUACCAUGAAAAAGUUUAAGAUUAAUGGAUCAGUUUUAAGCAUCGAAUCUGCUUCAAAGGAAGAUUCUGGUUCAUAUAAAUGUUCAGCGAAAAAUGAAAUUGGCUUCAGUGAGAGUGAAAAUUUCCACCUAAAAGUUCAUUAUUUACCUGUCUGCACUGAGAAUCAAAAAAUAACCUAUGGGAUCGGAUUACGUGAAACCGCAAGGAUUUUAUGUGUUGUUGAUGCUUCGCCUGAGACCAAUGUUACUUUUACUUGGACAUUUGCAAACAAUUCUCAACUACCACUAACCUCAAAGUAUCCAACCAAUGUUGAAGGUCUUCGUAGCUCAAUACUUUUCACUCCCUUUAACCUCCAUGAUUACGGUUACAUCCAGUGUUGGGCCAAAAACACCAUCGGACGACAGGAGAAACCUUGUACUUUUAACAUCGUUCCCGCAGAUCGUCCAGAUUCACCCAAUCGCUGCAAAAAGUACGAGAUCAAUGAUACAACCAUGAAAAUCUGCUGUGAUCCUGGUUACGAUGGUGGAUUAACUCAAAAGAUUCACCUUGAAGUUUACAAAGGUGACAAAAGUGAUUUUAAUGUGAUAGCCAAUGUAACUUCAAGUGAAUUAACAUUAUCAACUUUACUUCCUUCACCUCCUCCCUCAUCAUUAUCAUCUUCAUCUUCACCGCCAACUUCAUCAUCUUCAUCAACGCCUAUUUGUCUUUUCAUCGAUAAUCUGAUUCCAUCAGAAUUUUACACUUUCAUCGUCUAUUCAUCCAAUAUAAAGGGUAAAAGUGGUAAAAGUUUCGAGUUAGAAGGAACCAAACAAACAACAAAACAACUUCCAUUAGAAAAAGGAUCAAAAAAUAAUAGUACAAUGUCCUCAUCCUCCAUGGUCACUAUUACCUUUGUCCUGGUCAUCAUUUCAAGCUUAUUGAUUGUGAUAAUAUUGAAAAGACGAUCAAGAUCAACCAAAUUAUUACCCAAACCAGAAAUGGAUAUUAAUACAUAUUCCCCUUCAUUCAAACGUUCACCCUCUCAAUUGAAUCUCGAAGCCAAAAGUCCGGACAUUAUCCCAUUACCACGAACAAGCAUAGAUUUCGAGACUGAAACAUUCUGGGCCAAUCUCGAAAGUAAGAAUGACCGCCGAGCAAUUUAUAUCUCCUGUAAAGAAGGUGAUUCAAUGGCGAUUCCGCUGAAAAGGAUUCCAUAUAAUUCAAUUGUCAAAGAAAAUUUCUUAUUGAAUUAUCGGUGAAAGAGUGAGAAAUUCUUGACCUGGUUUCAGUCUUCUCAUGAUUAUAUUCAAUUCAUUCAUGAUCUCAAAGAUGAUUCUCAUGGACGAUUUACAAUUGUAUUGCUUUGUAAAUGAUAUAAAGAGAAGAUAAAAAGAAAAGGGAAAAGUUGAAAGAAUUUACUUUCUUUUACUCAGAACUUUAUUCACAAUUUCCAUUGGUAAAGCAUGAGAAUGACUUAAGUUGUGAUUCCUGAAAAUGACUCAAUGGUGUGACGGUGAUGAAGAUGAAGUAAUGAGCAGAGUAUCAAAAACUUUCUCAUCUUGAGGUUAUCCAAUAAAAGUAUAAACAUACAAAGUCUCUCGGAAGGAAAAACCAAACGGAAAUGAAGAAAAAAAUUUCAAAUUUUUAUAUUGAAAAAUAUCUCAAGUAGCUGAAUAACAGUAGGCAUGAAUUCAAAAAACAUGACGCGAGAUUUUUAUGAAUUUUUAUGAAGAUAAUUCUCAAUAACUGAGCUCUUAUCAAAAGAUUUUAAAAGCCUUAAAAAGUGAUGGUCUAGCUGAAACUAAAGUUAAUUAAAAGUUAUACUAAACU